rnacentral:rRNA from 1 species
CGUCUAUAUACGUAUAGCAUAUCAAUAAGCGGAGGAAAAGAAACUAACUAAGGAUUCCCUCAGUAACGGCGAGUGAAGCGGGAAGAGCUCAAAUUUGAAAUCUUCAAGGUUCUACCUUGACGAAUUGUAGUUUAAAGAAGUGUUUUCUGUUGGAAGUUUUGGUAAAGGUUCUUUGGAAUAGGACAUCAUAGAGGGUGAGAAUCCCGUAUUUGACCGAUUAUUUUCCAGCUUUGUGGAUACACUUUCAAAGAGUCGGAUUGUUUGGGAAUGCAGUCCAAAAUGGGUGGUAAAUUUCAUCUAAAGCUAAAUACUGGCGAGAGACCGAUAGCGAACAAGUACCGUGAGGGAAAGAUGAAAAGAACUUUGAAAAGAGAGUUAAACAGUACGUGAAAUUGUCAAAAGGGAAGCGUUUGACACCAGUGUUGUUUUCUCGAAAAUCAAUUAAAAAUGGCAGGGAUUUUGUGUUGUAUUGACUUUAUCAGCUUUCAGCACUUUUUUCUUGUCUUUUUUAAUGCACUUUUCGUUUAACAAGUCAACAUCAAUUUCUUUUGUUGUAAAAGGGUCAUUGGAAGGUGGCUUUCACUUCGGUGAAAGUGUUUAUAGCCUUUGGCUUCUGACAAUCGGAGAGAUUGAGGUCUGCAGCGUAGAUCCUUCGGGGUUAGAUGCAUUUGUGCUAAGUUAUAGCCUUUCAUAGACAACUUGUUGACUAUGAUCAGUCAUGUAGCUUACUCGCUUAUGUCAUUUUACCUACGCUUAGGAUGUUGAUCUGUAGUGCGUGCGC